UUUAACUGUGAUUUUUUCUUUGCAUGGUAAACUCAAGUAUGGGCCAACAUCCCUCCAUAAUUCGCCCUAGUUGAAGGGCCACAAUUUUGGGUUUUUGUCGCUUAUUUGGUCGCGUUGGGGUUUCUAUCCAGGUAGUAUUUUGAUCACAUUAGUAAUUGCUAUUGAUUGAAAUCCUUGAGGAGCAUUUAGGGUUUUGUCUAUCGCGUUAUGUUUCAUCACUCAGUAACGACAGUCGGAUCGAGGUAAAACGUAUCAGACUUUAAUCGGAAUAUCAUUAUUUAAGUGUUCUCCUUAUUACCGCGUCAUAGAUCAAAUGGUUUGUUGGCUCCUAUUUUGACUUUAGCAAUCAUUUGUAGCGUUAUUAACAAGCUUAUUUUCUACACAAAGGUGGUUAGUUGGUACUGUUUAUCCGAUCUGUAUAUCCCCCUCCCCCGGGAGAAAUAGGGGGAAAAGACCUCAGGGGAAGGAGGUAGGCGACGGCAAUUUGGUUAUUUUCUUACUUCUAAUGGGCUCGUAUUAUUCAGAAAAUUGCAUCUAUUUCUGAUACUCCUUUUAAACAGUAAAUAGAUCUGAUUGGGCUCCGCAAUUGCGCACGUUAACAAAUUGAACUAUUAAACUCUUUAGAAAUUUGUAGACAUCCAAGCGAACUAACUGUAAUUGCGAAGCUCACAUUUUCUGGCCUUUGAGGGUUGAGUUAGUGAAUAGGGGGUCAUCAUCAACAGACAAAUUGAGACCAUUUAGAUCCACUUUUGAUUUCGUAUUCAAAAAUAAACUUGUCAAACGAUAUGCGGAGGUUGGGUAUAAAAAUGGCGAGCAUUUCCAGGGUUGGACGGUAGAAGUGUCUUGGGUGUUGUUGAAGAUGGAACGGCUCUUGCACCUGGGCGCUCUGUUCAGUCUGCAUUCCGUUUGCUUCAACACACCCAAGACAUUUCAAUUCUAUCCUUUCCUUUGGUCCUUUUUUGUUGCAUGCGAUGUCAUCGCAGGUGGUUUCUUCCUCGCUGAAAUGGUGGUGAAAAUCACCGUUCCUAAUUUCCAAGAGGGGGAAGGCUUUUUUUAAAGAUCUUUUCGGUUGGUUCUUUUUCAUUAUUUUCCUACUUCCGGCGUUGGCGGAUUCAUGGAGAAUGGGUCCUAAUCAUAGAACGAGCGAUCUUUGAUUAUAUUCCGUCCGCCAUUUAUUUAUUUUCAUCUUUCCAUAUAUAGUUCUUUUGCCCCAUCCUUUGUUAGUUUUGAAAUGAAAUUUGUUUUCCACAAGACACUGAAGACCAUUUCAACUGUUUUGAUCUUGAAAUCUACCUCCAACUUUCAAACUUGUAAUCGACGAACAAACUUCUGAUUUCGAUCGAAUAUAUGUACUACGUUUGAUUUUUAUUUCCGGCGACGACGUCAGUUGGAGUUUUUCCUCCCUUUUCGUAUGUCCCUGUUUUUCUUCCAAUUUAUUUUUUAAUAAGAAGCUCUGUCACUGUUUAAUGUGAUCGUGGCCACCCAGUCAAAUGCCGCCCUUUGCAUACAAGCCACUUUAUUCAUUUGCAUGAAAAGGUUGGCCUAUCCCCAAGUUCUUGAUUUGAUAGAUUUGAUAGACACAAGUGUUUUAAUUGUCUGUUCAUGCCGAAAUGACUUUGUAAGUCUGCCACCUAAUUAGAGUUUAAGUGUUGACUGUCGGAGCGACGUCGCUAAACUCAGCAGUCUCACGCAUUUCCAGUAAAAGUGAUGCAUGUUUCGUCGUUGUCUACCACCAUUUCCUUGCUGACCAUCUUGUUAUGCAUUUGUUUUUCUCCUUUUGGGAGAUUUAAACAAGUUUGAAAGUCUGGGUUUAUGCUCCGAGUUUCUAGUCAUAACUAAUCUUGGAUCGAGGUGAUAGACUAAAUGUACGUCUCCGUGUCUCAUCGUCUGUUGCUUUGCAUUUUUCUCGCUCUGAUUCGUGGUAGAUUUGUGCGUAAACUUGGGGUUGGAGCGGGUGAUAUUAUUUCCGUGUCAACGGACCGAGGGCGAUACCGGUAAUCUGAAGCAAAGGGAUUUUUCAAAGAAGUGGUAGAUAGAAAUUUUGGAAGUUUAACGAUUGAAUUUUUGGAAUUUGUAAUGUGGAAAGACCAGAGAUGAUGUAAUUAGGAGACGACUUUGAAAAUGAUCUUUGCUUCUGCACUCGUAUUGAUUCCGCGUGAUUCGACACACCCCGCUAUACAAGGAUUCCAUCACCUACAAGGAACGCAAACUACUCAACAAUCGAUUACGUUGGAUCUUUUGUACCGGUUCUUGUUUAAUUUUUUAUUGUUGACUGCGCUGUCGAAAGGGUUCCCCCAUCUUCUCACCUUCGACUUUCAGAUUUGAACGAAGUCGUCCGCGAUCUUUGCUAAAGACCUCAAGAAAAUCCUUCCCAUCUCCACCUUCGUGUUGAGCGAAUUUCAACGAUCCUAAAAAUCGAGAUAAAUCAGUUCCAGUUUUCCUACCACCGAAUUGAAAGAAAGCGAUCCUGUAAGGAUGGAGUCUGCCCUGUCCAAGUCACAUUAUUUGAAUUUUCAUUUGUAAUCCCAAGGCUGGAUUAAACAUCAAAGAAGCCAUUCAACAUCACUGCUCCAGAUUCGCAAUGUUUGUCUUGAUUGAAGCACUCGCUUUUCUAAUUGCCAAUCGAUUUUUCUUGUCGUCGUCUGUGGUUUGACGGAACACGACUUUAUCAAAUUAUAUGAUGUUGUCUCGUGUGUUUUUGUCGUCUCUUCGUUUGGUUAAUUGUAAUGUUUUUCGCAGUUAGAGUCGAAAGCAUGAUCUAGGAUGGUGGAUAAGCGUUCUAUGAUGCACAUAAUUUCGAAUGACUGGAUUGUAAUUUUCCCAUUCGUUCGAAAUUGUGACCAUCAUAUUGCGGUUUUUCACUAUCAUCUACGAGCUCACCAUCUUGAAAAUGCUUAUCGGUUAGUCUACAAGAUCCUCAUCAUUAUGGGAAUGUUUCUGCUUAGUUUCGUUUACGUAUUGGCCAUUGUCCCUGCUUUUAACGGGUGAUGAGCGACACAAGCGCGAUCAUGUGUUGCCGCCAAACCGCCAACUUGAGUUUAAUUAGAACUGGAAAUAACCAACUGAUGUGCAACUAUAGAGCUGCCAUUCGACUGAUUUCCUUUGACGUAAUAUUCUGAAUCUUUAUCUCGUAUUUUAUAGUGGAAAAUUUCAAUGUUUCGUGUGGACGAAAUGUACUUCCGAUAUCCUAUAUUGAUGUAAGAAUGUCAAAACACUUGGACGCUCUGCCCAUUCGUCGUCCAAACUCUACGCUGUAAUUUCUCUUCAAACAUGCCAUCUUUUUGAAGCGGCUACACAACGGACAUGAUGCUAUCUUCAACGACAUUAUCCAAAUGCGGUCGUAACGUUCGGCGGACAACUGCCAGUGUUUUGAAACUGGAAGAGAUUGUGGCCCGCGAAAAAUGUGAAGUAGAAAGCUGUGUGAUGGUCUUUAUUAUUCAUUUCCCUUUUGGUCGAUAAUUGGUUGCAAACAUUCUGCACACAUUCAAGAAGUCUAAACAUCAUCGUCAAGGUGAAGAGCAAAAGACAUGUGUUUUUUUAUUGUGGACCGUCAUGGACCAUGUGGAUCAGAUGACCAUUUCGGACCAUCGACAGAGAAGGGGUUUUGUCUGAUCAGAAUAAUGAUCCAUCCCAUCUGAUUGCUGCUGAGAUAGAAGCGGAAACGCUUUUGUCUACGCACCUUAUUUCAACAGACAGUCCAGCAAUGAUCGACAGCUAGCCAGUCAAUCCGAAAAAGUGAUGAAGGUUAAACUGUUUCCAUUUUUCCAAGCCACGUCUAUGACAGACAUUCAUUUUCUUACAAGUAUAAUAACCAUAAAGUAGUUGGCCCGUUUGUGUAUAAUGCUUCGGCCGUAGAUUUUUAUUUAAAUUUUUUUUUUUUUUUUUCUCUACCACACAUUUCACCUUAUAUGAUUUUAACUAAUGGAAAACAACGCAUUAACUUGUAUUAAGAGAUCCACCAAUCGCUGUUACUGUUUUUAUCAUUUCCAGAGUGCACUGGGUGGCAAGAAAUGGGCAGUGUGAGACUCCCUGUAACAUUGAGCUGCUAUAGAUAAGUUUGAUGUCCUGUAAUUGCAGUGCGUAUCGACAUUAAUUUACAGCAACUCAAGAUUACAUGGAACCCUAUUGCUGACAUCCCUUAUUGCUACCUAAUAUUCUCUGGUUUUGAUUUAACACAACUGCAGCGAUUUCCAAAUCCAACUGAAGAAUCUCUGGUUAAAUUCAAGUUAAUUUAGGUGUUGUUCUCCGUCAGCUCAAGAAGCGUCUAAUGUGAUUUUACACGUAUGCUUAUUUUGUGUACCAGUCUAAAAUCUAAAUGUCUAUGAUAACCACAAUAUAUACUUGAAUGUA